UACGUAGGGGGCAAGCGUUGUCCGGAAUCAUUGGGCGUAAAGAGCGUGUAGGCGGCCCGAUAAGUCCGCUGUGAAAGUCAAAGGCUCAACCUUUGAAAGCCGGUGGAUACUGUGAGGCUAGAGUACGGAAGAGGCGAGUGGAAUUCCUGGUGUAGCGGUGAAAUGCGCAGAUAUCAGGAAGAACACCCGUGGCGAAGGCGGCUUUCUGGGACGGUACUGACGCUGAGACGCGAAAGCGUGGGGAGCGAACAGG
rnacentral:rRNA from 1 species